rnacentral:lncRNA from 1 species
GUAGAGUAUUGUAUCAGUCGAACAGAUACUUCAAUUUUUAAGUUUGAGAUGGAGAUUUGAUCUCCCAUAUGGAUGCAAUAUAGGGAUUUAACUUUGAAAAGUUGCUUGGAGCCAUUAAAUCUGAAAUGAGGUCCAUGAAGAUCAAUGAUGUAUAGACAUUCGUUGAUUCACCUAAAGGGAUAAGACCCAUAGGGUGUGAGU